CCUACGGGUGGCAGCAGUGGGGGAUAUUGCACAAUGGGGGAAACCCUGAUGCAGCGACGCCGCGUGAGUGAAGAAGUAUUUCGGUAUGUAAAGCUCUAUCAGCAGGGAAGAAAAUGACAGUACCUGACCAAGAAGCCCCGGCUAACUACGUGCCAGCAGCCGCGGUAAUACGUAGGGGGCAAGCGUUAUCCGGAUUUACUGGGUGUAAAGGGAGCGUAGACGGCAAUGUAAGUCUGAAGUGAAAGAUUGGGGCUCAACCCCGGGACUGCAUUGGAAACUGUGUAGCUGGAGUACAGGAGAGGCAGGCGGAAUUCCUGGUGUAGCGGUGAAAUGCGUAGAUAUCAGGAGGAACACCAGCGGCGAAGGCGGCCUACUGGACUGUAACUGACGUUGAGGCUCGAAAGCGUGGGGAGCAAACAGGAUUAGAUACCCGAGUAGUC
rnacentral:rRNA from 1 species